rnacentral:rRNA from 1 species
CUACAGGCUUAACACAUGCAAGUCGAGGGGCAGCAUGAAGUUUGCUUGCAAACUUUGAUGGCGACCGGCGCACGGGUGAGUAACGCGUAUCCAACCUCCCGCAUACUCGGGGAUAGCCUUCUGAAAGGAAGAUUAAUGCCCGAUGGUAUCUCAAGAGCACAUGCAAUUAAGAUUAAAGAAUUUCGGUAUGCGAUGGGGAUGCGUUCCAUUAGGUAGUAGGCGGGGUAACGGCCCACCUAGCCAUCGAUGGAUAGGGGUUCUGAGAGGAAGGUCCCCCACAUUGGAACUGAGACACGGUCCAAACUCCUACGGGAGGCAGCAGUGAGGAAUAUUGGUCAAUGGGCGCGAGCCUGAACCAGCCAAGUAGCGUGAAGGAUGACGG